GGCCACUUGGUGUAAUUGGUUAGCAUUCUGCCUAGCCAGGUGAUUCCCCAGAAGGCGGAUCUACACCAAUCCCGAUUCACACGACAAUCUGCUGGAUGAGCUUUCAUCUGCCGUAAACGGUGGAAGGUGCCAGUUCGAGUCUGGCAGUGGUCU